rnacentral:rRNA from 1 species
UACGUAGGUCCCGAGCGUUGUCCGGAUUUAUUGGGCGUAAAGCGAGCGCAGGUGGUUUAUUAAGUCUGGUGUAAAAGGCAGUGGCUCAACCAUUGUAUGCAUUGGAAACUGGUAGACUUGAGUGCAGGAGAGGAGAGUGGAAUUCUAUGUGUAGCGGUGAAAUGCGUAGAUAUAUGGAGGAACACCGGUGGCGAAAGCGGCUUUCUGGCCUGUAACUGACACUGAGGCUCGAAAGCGUGGGGAGCAAACAGG